CAGUCGCCGCGGGAAUACGAGGGGGGCUAGCGUUGCUCGGAAUUACUGGGCGUAAAGGGCGCGUAGGCGGACAGUUCAGUCGGGGGUGAAAGCCCGGGGCUCAACCUCGGAAUUGCCUUCGAUACUGGCUGUCUUGAGUAUGAGAGAGGUGUGUGGAACUCCGAGUGUAGAGGUGAAAUUCGUAGAUAUUCGGAAGAACACCAGUGGCGAAGGCGACACACUGGCUCAUUACUGACGCUGAGGCGCGAAAGCGUGGGGAGCAAACAGGAUUAGAUACCCCAGUAGUCCCUGUCUCUUAUAC
rnacentral:rRNA from 1 species